CAAUAGCGUAUAUUUAAGUUGCUGCAGUUAAAAAGCUCGUAGUUGGAUUUCGGGUGGGAAUGGCCGGUCCGCCGUUUCGGUGUGCACUUGCUACGCCCACCUUGCUGCCGGGGACGUGCUCUUGAGUACACGCUCGGGACACGGAGUCGGCGAGGUUACUUUGAGUAAAUUAGAGUGUUCAAAGCAGGCCUACGCUCUGAAUACAUUAGCAUGGAAUAACACGAUAGGACUCUGGCCUAUCUUGUUGGUCUGUAGGACCGGAGUAAUGAUUAAGAGGGACAGUCGGGGGCAUUCGUAUUUCAUUGUCAGAGGUGAAAUUCUUGGAUUUAUGAAAGACGAACUACUGCGAAAGCAUUUGCCAAGGAUGUUUUCAUUAA
rnacentral:rRNA from 1 species